AGGACGAAGCUGGGGUCAGAUCUGACGGUUUUAAUUGCGCGUAUCGGGCGACCAGGGCUGGACCGGCCCAACUGUUCCGCCGGUGCGCCGGCGCCUAGCGUCUCCCUACCCCUAAUGCCACUGUACAUGCUGUUGAAAACUGUAGGCUGCUCCAGCAGUAGUGAGGAUGCCUUGCAGUAUGAUACUUGAUACCAUGCUAACAGAACUAUGAUUACCGAAGGUUGAACAAUGCCAGAAAAUAUAUGGUGGUAGCAAGGUCUGCGUCACUGUCUUUUUAACACUCCUAUGCUACUUCAUGAUAGUGAAUCUACCCGUGCAUCCAUAUCUGGAGUCCUCUUCAUAUGAUGAUGUAGAAGAGCAGACUGCUGCUAUUGAAGCCAAAGGUGCUUGGAAAACACAGCUAAUACAGAGAUCUGAGACUAUAAUUAAAACCAUAGGAAGCGCCUCCAAAACCAGAAUGAGUAGCUCAUGCACCUACUCAACAUAGUGAAUGUGAGCUGCUCAUUCUAGUUUUAGAGGCGCUUCCUAUGGUUAAUCUUGGUAGGGCCGACACACUCUAUAAAUUAAUUAGCCUUGUCUUCAUUACAGAACUGAAAUCAUCUUGAACUCAAAUUUCAUCUUUUAAUUGACUCUUCCAUAUCUCGAUCAGAAGAACUUGAGUGGGGUGGAGGCUGGAUUGCGAGCCAGAUGCCCCAUCAAUAGGGGCAGUAAAGGAGAAGAAGAUAGUUGUUUAACAUUGCAGUUACUUUACUCAAGUGACAUACCAGAUCCAUCAUUUUAAUCUUGAGGUGGUGAACCCCAUCCGAGAUGGUGUCUAGAUUGGAUCUGGUGGUUCUAGACUCUGCGACAGCUGGAUCAAUAUUUCGUCGACUCCCCUAGGGUUUCUGGAAUAUUGGGGUAUUUAUAGAGCAAAGAGGCGGUCUGGGGGGGCACCCGAGGUGGGCACAACCCACCAGGGCGCGCCUGAGCCUCCUGGCGCGCCCUGGUGGGUUAUGCUCUCCUCGGAGCACCCCCAGGUUCAUUUAUGAAGAUCAUAUUUUAAUGCCUACUAGCUACUCCCUCUGUCUCAUUAUGUAAGAUGUUUUUUGACGCUACACUAGUGUAAAAAACGUCUUAUAUUAUGGGACGGAGGGAGUACUAAUCAGGUGGGUCCACCACUUCCAGCCACACAAGUAGUUUUUUUCUGAGGUCGAAGAACUACAUCUUCAGCUCAAGCAAUAUGAGCAUUCAGCAAGAUGUAACUUUUACCAAUGCAACGAUUGCCUCAGUCAUCAAAAGGACCAUGAUGCAAAUAAUGUGCUUGCUCAAAUAGAAGAACUCACCAGGGCUUUGACCUUUGAGUCCUUAGACUUUAUCCCGGUGUUCCCUUUGAUGCUGGCCAGCUCAUCUCGUCUGAUUGAGCUUGUCUUUAAACCAAGACUAUGAUGGGAAAAA